rnacentral:rRNA from 1 species
GACGAACGCUGGCGGCGUGCUUAACACAUGCAAGUCGAACGGAAAGGCCCCUUUGGGGGUACUCGAGUGGCGAACGGGUGAGUAACACGUGAGUAACCUGCCCUUGACUUCGGGAUAACUUCAGGAAACUGGGGCUAAUACCGGAUAGGAAUCCUUGCUGCAUGGUGGGGGUUGGAAAGCUUCGGCGGUUUUGGAUGGACUCGCGGCUUAUCAGCUUGUUGGUGGGGUAGUGGCUUACCAAGGCUUUGACGGGUAGCCGGCCUGAGAGGGCGACCGGCCACAUUGGGACUGAGAUACGGCCCAGACUCGUACGGGAGGCAGCAGUGGGGAAUAUUGCACAAUGGGCGGAAGCCUGAUGCAGCAACGCCGCGUGCGGGAUGACGGCCUUCGGGUUGUAAACCGCUUUCAGCAGGGGCGAAGCUUGUGGUGACGGUACCUGCAGAAGAAGCACCGGCUAACUACGUG